rnacentral:sRNA from 1 species
ACUAAUUACAAAAACAAGGGGCGGGAAAAUCCUGCCCUCCCGAUCGUUGUUACAGUACGGACAGACUAUACGGCGGCUGGUCGUUCCCCAGCCGCCGCGAAUACCGAAACAAGCUGAGCAAUGAUCUUCGAGGGUAGCGCUGCUACCCUUUUUUUCC